rnacentral:tRNA from 1 species
GGUAUCGCCAAGCGGUAAGGCACCGGUUUUUGAUACCGGCAUUCCCUGGUUCGAAUCCUCGUCC